rnacentral:lncRNA from 1 species
AUGUCUCAUGCUUCAAAGCGAAGGCGCUGCGUGCUUGAGGAAGGCAGUGAGACCCAAAGUGUUCUUGCAGUUGUGGAAGAGGAUACGUCCUCAUCCUCCACCUGCUCCUCCUCAUUUCCCUCCUCCUCUUCUUCUUCCUCUUCUUCUUUUUGUCCUCUGAUCUUGAGCUCCCCAGAGGAGGAGCUUAAUGUUAUUCCUGGGCCCCUGGGUCCUCCCCAGGAUCCUUCCCAGGGUCUUUCCCAGGAUCCUUCCCAGGGUCCUUCACAGAACCCUCCGAGUUCCUUUCUCUCUCCCACUGCUGUUGCCUCUCCAAUGAGCCAAUCCGAGGAUGGCUCCAGCAGCCAAAAAGAGGAGAGUCUGAGCACCUCUGAGGCUCUGCCAAAUGCUGAGUCCCUGCCCAGAAAUGUGAUUAAUGACAAGGUGGCUGAUCUGGUAGAGUUUCUGCUCCUCAAGUAUCGCACUAAGGAGCUGACCACAAAGGCGGAAAUGCUGAAUGUCGUCAUCCAAGAUUACCAGGAUCACUUCCCUGAGAUCUUCAGAGAAGCCUCGGAGUGCCUGCAGCUGGCGUUUGGCGUGGAUGUGAAGGAAGUGGACCCCAGCGACGACUCCUAUGUCCUGGUCACUACCCUGGGCCUCACCUGUGAUGGGAUGAUGAGUGAUGGGGAGACCAUGCCCAAGAACGGUAUUCUGAUAGUUAUCCUGAGCAUGAUCUUUAUGGAGGGUGACUGUGUCUCUGAGGAGAAGGUGUGGGAAGUACUGAAUGUGAUGGGGGUAUAUGAUGGGACAGAUCACUUUAUCUAUGGGGAGCCCAGGGAGCUUAUUACCAGAGUGUUGGUGCAGGAGCAGUACUUUGAGUACCGACAGGUGCCCAACAGUGAUCCUGCCCGCUAUGAGUUUCUGUGGGGUCCCCGGGCCCACGCGGAGAUCUGCAAGAUGACUCUCCUGGAGUUUUUGGCUAAGAUCAGUGGAAGUGACCCUAGAGCCUUCCCUCUGUGGUAUGAGGAGGCGUUGAGACAGCAGGAAGAGAGAGCCCAAUCUGGAAUUACCACCACGGAUGAUACUAGUGCCAUGGCCAGUGAAAGUUCUAGUGCCCCAUCUAGCAGCUUCUGCCCUGAGUGA